rnacentral:rRNA from 1 species
UAUUUUGACUAUACAAAGGUAUUGUAAUAAGACUUUAAUUGAGUGCUAAAAGAAUGGACUUUCAAAACCCCACUUUUUUAAAUUUAAAAAUUAAAGUUAUUUUUAUUUGUGAAGAAACAAUAAUAAAAAUUAAAGACAAGAAGACCCUAUGAAUUUUAAUUAAUUUAUUAUUAAAUUUAAUAAUAAAUUAAUUUAAUUGGGGCGAUUAAAAAAAAUGAAAAACUUUUUGCUUUAAAAAAUGAUCCAUUAAUAAUGACUUUAUGGAAAAAAUACUCUAGGGAUAACAGCGUAAUAAUUUUAGAUAGAUCUUAUAGAAAAAAUAGUUUGCGACCUCGAUGUUGGAUUAGGAUACUUAUUUAAUGAAGAAGUUAAAAAUAAGAAGUUUGUUCAACUUUUAAAAUCC